rnacentral:rRNA from 1 species
UACGUAGGUGGCAAGCGUUAUCCGGAAUUACUGGGCGUAAAGCGCACGCAGGGGGUUUGCUAAGAUUGACGUGAAAGCGCCUGGCUUAACUGGGCGAGGUCGUUGAUGACUGGCAGACUUGAGGCGAGGAGAGGGGUGUAGAAUUCCCGGUGUAGUGGUGGAAUGCGCAGAUAUCAGGAGGAACACCGAUGGCGAAGGCAGACCUCUGGGCCGUAACUGACGCUGAGGAGCGAAAGCAUGGGGAGCGAACAGG